rnacentral:tRNA from 1 species
AAAUUUAGAGUAAGAGUAAAAUCCGUCGAUUUCAAAAAUCGUGAGGGUUCAAGUCCCUCUAUCCCCA